rnacentral:rRNA from 1 species
GACGGAGGAGGCAAGCGUUAUCCGGGAUUAUUAGGCGUAAAGGGUACGUAGGCGGCUGGUCAAGUCUGGGGUCAAAGGCCACAGCUCAACUGUGGGAAGGCCCUGGAAACUGACCGGCUAGAGUGAGGUAGGGGUUGCGGGAAUUCCCGGUGUAGCUGUGAAAUGAGUAGAGAUCGGGAAGAACACCUGAGGCGGAAGCGCGCAACUGGGCCUCACCUGACGCUGAGGUACGAAAGCUAGGGGAGCGAAUGGG